CUUUUCCUCGGUAGCCCCAGAUGGUGGGGUGAGAUCAGCGGAGGGAAGAACGCAAGGGAGGGGCAAAAUUUCAAAUGCAAAAUGUAAGAGGUAAACGCGUGUUUAGAAGAAAAAGACAUGUCAAAAAGUGUGCAGUGUGUUGUAAAUAGUAGGUGGAUGUAUAACAAAUCUCUUAACUUCUUAGGUUGAAAUGUAUGAAGUAGGUUGAGAUGUAUUUAA